UGAGGGGUCUGCGAUGUGUUCCUCCAUGAAGCAGCCGAAUCCGGAGAGGUUGGUGGAGACACUGGGGAUACCCAUUACCGUGCACUCAGCUGCGGGAAGGUGUGAGAAAGAGAUGGAACCCGUGCCCCCUGCAUAGGAAGCCAGGAACUUCAAUCACUGGACCACCACAGAAGUCCCCAUAGUCUGUUUUGAUAGGAGGUGAAGAAACUGAGGCUUGGACUUCCCUGACGGUCCAGUGGUUAAGAAUCCACGUGCCAAUGGAGGGGACACAGGUUCAAUCCCUGGUCUAGGAAGAUCCCACAUGCCUCAGGCAACUAACCUGUGCACCACAAUUACUGACACCACGCUUGAGAGCCUGCGAGCCACAACUACUGAAGCCUGUGCACCCCAGAGCCCGUGCUCUGCAAUGAGAGAAGCCACUGCAACGCGAUGCCUGCACACUUCAACUCAAGAGUAGCCCCAGCUCAACACAAGUAGAGAAAGCCCAUGUGCAGCAACGAAGACCCAGGUGCAGCCAAAAAUAAAAUAAUUAAUUAAAAAGAAACUGAGG